AUGUCACAUCAUGGCUCUAAUGGGUGGCUGUCCUAUAAGCAUCUACAAUAUGGACACGUCCCUGUCUUCAUAACCCAUACCUUCAUCCUGAGUGUGUACGAGACGGUCCCUGUCUUCAUAAUCCCAUACCUUCAUCCUGAGUGUGUACGAGACCGUCCCUGUCUUCAAAACCCACACCUUCAUCCUGAGUGUGUACGAGACGGUCCCUGUCUUCAUAUCCCAUACCUUCAUCCUGAGUGUGUACGAGACGGUCUCUGUCUUCAUAUCCCAUACCUUCAUCCUGAGUGUGUACGAGACCGUCCCUGUCUUCAUAACCCAUACUUUCAUCCUGAGUGUGUACGAGACCAUCCCUGUCUUCAUAACCCAUACCUUCAUCCUGAGUGUGUACGAGACGUCUCUGUCUUCAUAACCCAUACCUUCAUCCUGAGUGUGUACGAGACCAUCCCUGUCUUCAUAACCCAUACCUUCAUCCUGAGUGUGUACGAGACGGUCUCUGUCUUCAUAAACCAACCUUCAUCCUGAGUGUGUACGAGACGGUCUCUGUCUUCAUAAACUAACCUUCAUCCUGAGUGUGUACGAGACAUACACCGUUGAAAAGUUUGGGGUCACUUAGAAAUGUCCUUGUUUUUGAAAGAAAAGUCAAUUUUUUGUCCAUUAAAAUAACAUCAAAUUGAUCAGAAAUACAGUGUAGACAUUGUUAAUGUUGUAAAUGACUAUUGUAGCUGGAAACGACUGAUUUUUAAUGGAAUAUCUACAUAGGCGUACAGAGGCCCAUUAUAAGCAACCAUCACUCCUGUGUUCCAAUGACACGUUGUGUUAGCUAAUCCAAGUUCAUCAUUUUAAAAGGCUAAUUGAUCAUUAGAAAACACUUUUGCAAUUAUGUUAGCCCGGCUAAAAACUGUUGUACUGACUAAAGAAGCUAUAAAACUGGCGUUCUUUAGACUAGUUGAGUACCUGAAGCAUCAGCAUUUGUGGGUUUGAUUACAAGCUUAAAAUGUCCAGAAACAAAGCACUUUCUUCUGAAACUCAUCAGUCUAUUCUUGUUCAGAGAAAUGAAGGCUAUUCCAUGUGUGGAAUUGGCAAGAAACUGAAGAUCUCAUACAACGCUGUGUAAUAAUCCCUUCACAGAACAGCACAAACUGGCUCUAACCAGAAGAGAAAGAGGAGUGGGAGGCCCCGGUGCACAACUGAGCAAGAGAACAAGUACAUUAGAGUGUCUAGUUUGAGACACAGACACCUCACAAGUCCUCAACUGGCAGCUUCAUUAAAUAGUGCCCGCAAAACACCAGUCUCAACGUCAACAGUGAAGAGGCGACUCCGGGAUGUUGACCUUCUAGGCAGAGUUCCUCUGUCCAGUCUCAACGUUAACAGUGAAGAGGCGACUCCGGGAUGUUGACCUUCUAGGCAGAGUUCCUCUGUCCAGUCUCAACGUCAACAGUGAAGAGGCGACUCUGGGAUGUUGACUUCUAGGCAGAGUUCCUCUGUCCAGUCUCAACGUCAACAGUGAAGAGGCGACUCUGGGAUGUUGACCUUCUAGGCAGAGUUCCUCUGUCCAGUCUCAACGUCAACAGUGAAGAGGCGACUCCGGGAUGUUGACCUUCUAGGCAGAGGUCCUCUGUCCAGUCUCAACGUCAACAGUGAAGAGGCGACUCCGGGAUGUUGACCUUCUAGGCAGAGUUUCUCUGUCCAGUCUCAACGUCAACAGUGAAGAGGCGACUCCGGGAUGUUGACCUUCUAGGCAGAGUUUCUCUGUCCAGUCUCAACGUCAACAGUGAAGAGGCGACUCCGGGAUGUUGACCUUCUAGGCAGAGUUCCUCUGUCCAGUCUCAACGUCAACAGUGAAGAGGCGACUCCGGGAUGUUGACCUUCUAGGCAGAGUUUCUCUGUCCAGUCUCAACGUCAACAGUGAAGAGGCGACUCUGGGAUGUUGACCUUCUAGGCAGAGUUCCUCUGUCCAGUCUCAACGUCAACAGUGAAGAGGCGACUCUGGGAUGUUGACCUUCUAGGCAGAGUUCCUCUGUCCAGUCUCAACGUCAACAGUGAAGAGGCGACUCCGGGAUGUUGACUUCUAAGCAAAGUGGCAUUGGAAUACAGGAGUGAUGGUUUCUGAUAAUGGGCCUCUGUACUCCUAUGUAGAUAUUCCAUAAUAAAAUCUGACGUUUCUAGAUACAAUAGUCAUUUACAACAUUAACAAUGUCCACACUGUAUUUCUGAUCAAUUUGAUGUUAUUUUAAUGGACAAAAAAUGUGCUUUUCUUUUAAAAAUAUGGACAUUUCUAAGUGACCCCAAACUUCUGAACAGCAGUGUACAUACCCCAGAACCACCAUUGACUGUAGCCAUUCUCAAAACAAGUGUUAGAUAUUAAACAAACUAAAAUAUGAAGAACCUUUGUAUGUCUUUUCCUAUAUAUAUAUAUAUACCAUUGUACAUACGUGUGUACGUAUGAAUGUUUGUAUGUAAAAUAUAUAUUCAAUGUUAAUGAAGAAAGGGAAUGUUUGUUGUUGGAAAUUCUAACAGAACCAUGUAAUAACCAACACUGUUAAAUCUGGGUUUUGUCUUCUUUUUGCGUUACGUUGAUGACAUUAAAUUUGGGACCACAACAAUUUUCUUUCUUCUAAAAUCAUCUCCAGAAACGUCUGGGAAUCUGAAAUCAAAUGUCUAUUCCAUUACUAAUAAUCAUCGUGUAUGGUUAAGAUCUUCAAAUAAAUGACAGUUGGUAUGGGGCAUGUACCAAAUGGCACCAUAUUCCCUGUAUAGUGCACUACUUUUAAACAAGGCCCAUAGAACUCUGCUCAAAAGUAGUGCACUAUAAAAGGAAUAAGGUGUCAAUUCGGACACACACAUACUUAAUCAUUAGAAGUGGACUCAUGCAGACAAGUGUUUCUAUUCAGUCAUACUAUAACUAUAGGAGUCAUAUAGUAACUGUAGGAGUCACAGUAUAACUGUAGGAGUCACACUCUAACUGUAGGAGUCAGACUAUAACUAUAGGAGUCAGACUAUAACUAUAGGAGUCAGACUAUAACUAUAGGAGUCAGACUAUAACUAUAGGAGUCAGACUAUAACUAUAGGAGUCAGACUAUAACUAACUAUAGGAGUCAUACUAUAACUAUAGGAGUCAUACUAUAACUAUAGGAGUCAGACUAUAACUAUAGGAGUCAGACUAUAACUGUAGGAGGCAGACUAUAACUUUAGGAGUCAGACUAUAACUUUAGGAGUCAGACUAUAACUAUAGGAGUCAGACUAUAACUAUAGGAGUCAGACUAUAACUAUAGGAGUCAGACUAUAACUAUAGGAGUCAGACUAUAACUAUAGGAGUCAGACUAUAACUAAC
ensembl:lncRNA